GAUGGGGCCGGCCGCCCGCGCGGAGCAAUCCGCGGCGGGGUCGUGUCCGGUUGCCUUUCCACUCGCCGUGGGGCGGGGCCGUUCCAGCGUGCGGUGGGCCGCACUUCUCCCCUAGUAGGACGUCGCGACCCGCUGGGUGCCGGCCUACGGCCCGGGUGCGCAGCCUGUCCAUCCGCGGGCCUCGGUUCGCGCUUGUUGGGCAGAGCCCCGGUGUCCCGGCUGGCUGCUCGGCGGCAUGUCUGGAGGAGUCGAUUCGCCAAACUCGCUUUGGGCGCCCGUGCUCCUGGCAAGCGCGCGCGGUUCUUCCCGGGUGACGGUCCUACCUGGCCCGGCCCCGGACCCGCGCCGCUGUUGGCUUGGGAUGCUCUCGGGCGGAAUAAUCGCUCCCGUCAGCGGCGCUUCAGCUUUGGACAAUUUCACGACCCGUCUUGAAACACGGACCAAGGAGUCUAACAUGUGCGCGAGUCAUUGGGCUGCACGAAACCUAGAGGCGAAAUGAAAGUGAAGGUCUCGCCUUGCGCGGGCCGAGGGAGGAUGGGGCCCUCCCGCCCUCUCCGGGCGGCGGGCCUCCGCACUCCCGGGGCGUCUCGU
rnacentral:rRNA from 1 species